GAGCCCGGAUGUUACAACUCUUCCCUUCAUAAGAAAAAAUUUGAUCCCUCAAAUUUGUUGCUCUCUCACUAGUCAAACAGUUGAGGAUGCUAGACCCUGAAGUCUUCCGGUCCAAAAUACCUACCGGUAGUUCCUCGUAGGAUAGAUCCUUAUACAGUGGAAGUGGCCCAUAAGAUAAGACAUGUGAGGGAUCCAGAUUGUACUUG
rnacentral:lncRNA from 1 species